GUGAACUUUCUUGAUACUACCUCACUCUUUCACCUUGGCCCAUUGCUGGGUUUCUGGGUCUGAUUUGAGCCCCAGCCAGUCCGGGAGUGACAGCCAAGAGGUCUACGGAGCAGGCAGCCCACCCCAGGGCCUCCUCAGACCCCAGUCCUGUGGUUGCUCUAAAUCAUGGCUCAGGAAGGGCACAACCUCAGGACCCAUGUGCAGAGCUCAGCGAGGGUCACGUGGUCCCCACUCUGCUGCCCAGGGGUCUCUCUGCUAUGAACCCCACUCAUCCUAGGGACAACUUGGUCCCCACCAAGCCCUCCAGAGCUGGAUCAGUGGAAUCAGGGGAAGAAGGAGGAAGCUUCACAGUCCACCCCAUGGGAGCGGCCCCUACCCACUGCGAAAGACCAAGUGGAGAUGGCAAGUCAUGUGCCCGUGCACACGCGUGUGGAUGCGCAUGCGCGUACCCAGCCCAGGGACAGCCGAGAGGGAACCCGACAAAGAGAUGGAGGUGGGCCAGCGACUGAGGCAGAGACAAAUAGGGCUCCAGGAGAGCGCGACAGACAGGAAAUCCUUCUAAAUCAGGACACAGCCCCAAAACGUUAUUGCUGUUAUUACUAUUAGCUCUGUGUAAAGGAGCAAGUGGGAGCAAGGAUCCGGUGCGAGUGCAGCCCCUGCCACGCGCCUCCGGGCGCUGCUCCGGGCGCUGCUGGCAGCCAUUUUAGACCUUGGCAGCCAUCUUACGGCUGGCGGCCUCAGCCGGAGGCCCACAAUGCCGCGACCGCCGGCCCCUGACAUGCUCAGCUCAGCUCCAGGACAAAAGGCAGAGACAUGGGAAAUCUGGACCCAGGCUCAGAGGCACAGGAGCCAGGCCUGCGGCCGGGGCAGCUGCAGCCAGGGCCCCACUGAUCUGCUCAAGUGGUGUUCUCCUUCUCCCCGCUGGCCAGCACAGUGAAAGGAGCAGGGAAGGCUGAAGCCAGGGGCAGGGGACACCGCAGCUCUACUCAAAGGUGGCUAAAGUCCUCACAGGCCAUCUCUAGCCAGGGCCUUAACUAGCUCAGCAAGAGUAGACCCCUGCCCCGAUAGGGCCGCAGGCACCUCGGGACACCAGGGAUGUGACGGGGGAAGGUCUCUGAGCACCCUGUCAGCUCGGGGAUGUGCCUUGGAUAGAUAGAGGAAGGAGGCUGGCAGGAACCAGCCAGUGGCUGCAGGGCCCAGAGAGGCCACUAGGUCCAUGGUGAAAGGGCUCCUGGGGAGGCAGCUCCUGGGGAGGCAAGGAGACGUCCUGCCCACCAGAGGCACAACGUGGGCCAGCUUUCUUACCUGGCAGGCUCUUUGGGGAGCCUUGCCUUGAGGUCUACACCUGCUCUGGACAGGUGACAGGAGCUGCAGAGCAUCUCCAUGUCGUGACUGCCUUCCCUGUCUGGGCUUCCCCGGGGGAGGGGAUAACCCUGGGAUUUGGGACAGAAAGGAGGAAGGCCCCUUUAGGAUGCCCCUCCCCAGGCCCUGCCUCGUGGCUGCUCUGCUUUUAUCUGGCAGAAUGGGGCUUAUCAGAGCCACCAGCUGAACAAAUACACAAAUCCACGGUUAGUGAGAAAAAA
ensembl:lncRNA novel transcript, antisense to NFIX